GAUGAACGCUGGCGGCGUGCCUAACACAUGCAAGUCGAGCGAACCCUUCGGGGUGAGCGGCGGACGGGUGAGUAACGCGUGGGUAACCUGCCCUGUACACACGGAUAUCAUACCGAAAGGUAUGCUAAUACGGGAUGAUAUAUGAAAGUCGCAUGGCUUUUAUAUCAAAGCUCCGGCGGUACAGGAUGGACCCGCGUCUGAUUAGCUAGUUGGUAAGGUAACGGCUUACCAAGGCGACGAUCAGUAGCCGACCUGAGAGGGUGAUCGGCCACACUGGAACUGAGACACGGUCCAGACUCCUACGGGAGGCAGCAGUGGGGAAUAUUGCACAAUGGGCGAAAGCCUGAUGCAGCAACGCCGCGUGAGCGAUGAAGGCCUUCGGGUCGUAAAGCUCUGUCCUCAAGGAAGAUAAUGACGGUACUUGAGGAGGAAGCCCCGGCUAACUACGUGCCAGCAGCCGCGGUAAUACGUAGGGGGCUAGCGUUAUCCGGAAUUACUGGGCGUAAAGGGUGCGUAGGCGGUCUUUCAAGCCAGAAGUGAAAGGCUACGGCUCAACCGUAGUAAGCUUUUGGAACUGUAGGACUUGAGUGCAGGAGAGGAGAGUAGAAUUCCUAGUGUAGCGGUGAAAUGCGUAGAUAUUAGGAGGAAUACCAGUAGCGAAGGCGGCUCUCUGGACUGUAACUGACGCUGAGGCACGAAAGCGUGGGGAGCAAACAGG
rnacentral:rRNA from 1 species